GAUGAACGCUGGCGGCGUGCCUAAUACAUGCAAGUCGAGCGAACAGACGAGGAGCUUGCUCCUCUGACGUUAGCGGCGGACGGGUGAGUAACACGUGGAUAACCUACCUAUAAGACUGGGAUAACUUCGGGAAACCGGAGCUAAUACCGGAUAACAUGUUGAACCGCAUGGUUCAACAGUGAAAGACGGUUUUGCUGUCACUUAUAGAUGGAUCCGCGCCGCAUUAGCUAGUUGGUAAGGUAACGGCUUACCAAGGCAACGAUGUGUAGCCGACCUGAGAGGGUGAUCGGCCACACUGGAACUGAGACACGGUCCAGACUCCUACGGGAGGCAGCAGUAGGGAAUCUUCCGCAAUGGGCGAAAGCCUGACGGAGCAACGCCGCGUGAGUGAAGAAGGUCUUCGGAUCGUAAAACUCUGUUAUUAGGGAAGAACAAAUGUGUAAGUAACUAUGCACGUCUUGACGGUACCUAAUCAGAAAGCCACGGCUAACUACGUG
rnacentral:rRNA from 1 species